GACGAACGCUGGCGGCGUGCUUAACACAUGCAAGUCGAACGGAAAGGCCCCUUUGGGGGUACUCGAGUGGCGAACGGGUGAGUAACACGUGAGUAACCUGCCCUUGACUUCGGGAUAACUUCAGGAAACUGGGGCUAAUACCAGAUAGGAAUCCUUGCUGCAUGGUGGGGGUUGGAAAGCUUCGGCGGUUUUGGAUGGACUCGCGGCGUAUCAGCUUGUUGGUGGGGGAGUGGCUUACCAAGGCUUUGACGGGUAGCCGGCCUGAGAGGGCGACCGGCCACAUUGGGACUGAGAUACGGCCCAGACUCCGACGGGAGGCAGCAGUGGGGAAUAUUGCACAAUGGGCGGAAGCCUGAUGCAGCAACGCCGCGUGCGGGAUGACGGCCUUCGGGUUGUAAACCGCUUUCAGCAGGGGCGAAGCUUGUGGUGACGGUACCUGCAGAAGAAGCACCGGCUAACUACGUG
rnacentral:rRNA from 1 species